GAUGGCUAGCCCGGCGGUAGGCCGCCUGCGAUCCGGCCGGCGGGCGAAACGAAAUCGCAGGACAAACUUGUAGACGCUCUUACCGGUGCGUCCGCGGACGCGGGUUCGAUUCCCGCCGCCUCCAUCG
rnacentral:tRNA from 1 species